CAAAUACUCCCUUCGUUCGGAAAUAUUUGUCGAAGAAAUGCAUAAAAUAAAUGUAUCUAAAAUUAAAAUACAUCCAUUUUUCCGACAAAUAUUUCCGGACGGAAGGAGUAUAAA
rfam:Triticum aestivum genome assembly, contig: Triticum_aestivum_CS42_TGACv1_scaffold_223873_3B